CUAAGGAUGGUUCUUCAGAAGCUUGCUUCUAUCGAACCGUUUUAGAAACAGCAGUGGCCAACGGUCGUCAGGAUCGUUGAGCUGCAUUGGCGGGAUUUCGCCGUCUUCGUUUCUCUUUCUUCGCGGACGAACACGCGCUGGGGCUGCAACCUUGCAGAAUCCCUGGUCCUUGACUGGAUAUGCGUUAGGGGCUUGUAGCUCAGUUGGUUAGAGCGCGCGCUUGAUAAGCGUGAGGUUGGAAGUUCAAGUCUUCCCAGGCCCACCACACUCAUCGAGUGAGCAUUCGUCUUCUGGUUACGGGGCCAUAGCUCAGCUGGGAGAGCGCGUGCUUUGCAAGCAUGAGGUCGUCGGUUCGAUCCCGUCUGGCUCCACCAGAUGGUUUGAUCACCGACUAUCCAUACCGUCGUCCGCGAAACAUCACUUCGCACUUACUAGUCCGGAUGGACAGUAAGCUGCGUGAUUUCUGACAUCGUAAAGAGGAGAUCGAUCCGAGUUGGAUCGGGCAACAAGCAAUUGUUGCGCGAUACUUCAUUAUCUCCGGAUCAUUUCGGCGCUCGUGCGUCUUCCAGGGUAACUCACAAGGCUGCAUCUGAAAGACAAGCGAGUUGUAAAUGAUCCUUUUAGCGAAGCUUGACCGCCUCGCUAUCGGAACGAUCUUACGAAGCAAGCUGGUCUUUCUAAUCAUUGUCCGGCUGCAGAUAGCGUUCAUCGAGGGCGCGUGCCUUAGAGACUUAGGUUUCUUGGCAAUUCUGCAGACAACAUUCUGCCGAGUGUGUGGACAUUGAUAAUGAGAGC
rnacentral:tRNA from 1 species